rnacentral:rRNA from 1 species
UAAGGAAUAUUGGACAAUGGAGGCAACUCUGAUCCAGCCAUGCCGCGUGAAGGAAUAAGGCCCUAUGGGUUGUAAACUUCUUUUAGACGGGACAAAACCCCUUUACGUGUAAAGGGUUGAUGGUACUGUCAGAAUAAGCAUCGGCUAACUUCGUGCCAACAGCCGCGGUAAUACGAAGGAUGCAAGCGUUAUCCGGAAUUAUUGGGUUUAAAGGGUGCGUAGGCGGACUAAUAAGUCAGUGGUGAAAGCCUGCAGCUUAACUGCAGAAUUGCCAUUGAUACUGUUAGUCUUGAGUACAGUUGAGGUAGGCGGAAUGUGUCAUGUAGCGGUGAAAUGCUUAGAUAUGACACAGAACACCGAUUGCGAAGGCAGCUUGCUAAGCUGUAACUGACGCUGAGGCACGAAAGCGUGGGGAGCAAACA